CGGGUGAGUAAUAUAUAGAUAAUGUGCCUCUUAGUCUGGGAUAGCCAUUGGAAACGAUGAUUAAUACUAGAUACUCCUUCUAACUUUAAUGUUAGUCGGGAAAGUUUUUUCGCUAAGAGAUCAGUCUAUAUCCCAUCAGCUUGUUGGUAGUGUAAGAGACUACCAAGGCAAUGACGGGUAGCGGGUUUGAGAGGAUGAUCCGCCACACUGGUACUGAGACACGGACCAG
rnacentral:rRNA from 1 species